rnacentral:rRNA from 4 species
AGAGAUUAAACUGAAGAGUUUGAUCCUGGCUCAGAUUGAACGCUGGCGGCAUGCCUUACACAUGCAAGUCGAACGGCAGCACGGAGCUUGCUCUGGUGGCGAGUGGCGAACGGGUGAGUAAUAU